AUACAUCUCAAAUUCACUUUUCAAUCCACAAAAUAAACCACAAUAAACCAAACUAUUCAUAAAAUUUAGCUACUACCUAAGCAUGUGCAAAAAAGCCUAAGUUCUCCCAAAAUACGCCAGUAACUUUUGCUCUAGCACUAGCCAUGGAUGGCAGUAACUUUUGCUCUAUCACUAAUAGAUUCUUGAGAUAAGGUUAACCUACUUCUGUUGCUUCUGCUACACUGCUUCUGUUGCUGCGACACACUUCUUGCUGCUGUUUGUAGCGAAGUGCUGCUGCCAAACAUUUAUAAACUGUUGUGACAUUUAUAAACAUUUUGUUAUCACAGAUGCCGACAGAUGAUGCCUACCUAAAUAUCAAGCUUGACUACAAGCCUGCUAUUAAAUGGAUAAAUGUUGCAGUGAUAGUCCCAAUCUGUCAAGCUUAACAUGAUGGAUGGUUGAUAACUCUUGAUCCCAAUUUCUCAAUACAGUUGUUAUAGACAACUAUUGCAUUGAUUAGAAAAGAGGUACUCAAUAAAGACCACUCCACAUUGGCACUUAAAAGAUAUGCAUGAAACACCAAUAAAUUAGAAUGAAAACUGAGAGAGAUUCCUGCAACUUUGAGAUUCAGAAAAUUUGCUUCAACGCAUACAAACUGGAAAAACAGACCAAAGAGAUACAAAUAAAAAAUGUCCUAGGAGCAGCUGUGGAUGCUAUUACCAAUGUUCGUCAUUAAUACUUAUUCAAGUAGCUGAAAAGACUCAAAGUUUUGUAAUAUAUAUCAUUUUCUUAAUAAUUAGCUUAGAUUAUUUAAAAAAUUGUAUUAAUUAUAAGAAACUGGGAAUCAAGUCUUACAGGGUCAAUCCUGUAUGCAAUUGUUGGAGGGGUUUCAUAGUUAAAUGUCCUAGGAGCAGCUGUGGAUGCAGAAAAAUGUGACUUUUGCUUCUCUUCAUCAGCUGAUGUAGUAC
rnacentral:lncRNA from 1 species